rnacentral:SRP_RNA from 1 species
GCCGGACGUAGCGGUGUGCGUCUGUAAUCCAACUACUAGGAGGCCGGGUAUAUGAAUGGUUUGAGAUGAGGAGUUCUGUGAGCAUUGCGCCUAUGUAGAUCGGAUGUCCACAGUAAGCUUGGCGUCAACAUGGUUAUAUUGUCGGAGGAUAGAAUACCCAGGUUGUUUAAUGAGAGAGGUAACGGCUCAGGGGAGAAAUCCUGCAGGCAAAACUCUCCACGUCAUUCGGUAUUGGGAUAGCAUCUGUGAAUAGAGCAGUGUUGGCAGCCUCAUCAAUAUGACCAGACUCGUACCUUU